rnacentral:rRNA from 1 species
CGAGCGGUAGAGAUCUUUCGGGAUCUUGAGAGCGGCGUACGGGUGCGGAACACGUGUGCAACCUGCCUUUAUCUGGGGGAUAGCCUUUCGAAAGGAAGAUUAAUACCCCAUAAUAUACUGGAUGGCAUCAUUCGGUAUUGAAAACUCCGGUGGAUAGAGAUGGGCACGCGCAAGAUUAGAUAGUUGGUGAGGUAACGGCUCACCAAGUCUGCGAUCUUUAGGGGGCCUGAGAGGGUGAUCCCCCACACUGGUACUGAGACACGGACCAGACUCCUACGGGAGGCAGCAGUGAGGAAUAUUGGACAAUGGGUGAGAGCCUGAUCCAGCCAUCCCGCGUGAAGGACGACGGCCCUAUGGGUUGUAAACUUCUUUUGUAUAGGGAUAAACCUACCCUCGUGAGGGUAGCUGAAGGUACUAUACGAAUAAGCACCGGCUAACUCCGUGCCAGCAGCCGCGGUAAUACGGAGGGUGCAAGCGUUAUCCGGAUUUAUUGGGUUUAAAGGGUCCGUAGGCGGAUCUGUAAGUCAGUGGUGAAAUCUCACAGCUUAACUGUGAAACUGCCAUUGAUACUGCAGGUCUUGAGUGUUGUUGAAGUAGCUGGAAUAAGUAGUGUAGCGGUGAAAUGCAUAGAUAUUACUUAGAACACCAAUUGCGAAGGCAGGUUACUAAGCAACAACUGACGCUGAUGGACGAAAGCGUGGGGAGCGAACAGGAUUAGAUACCCUGGUAGUCCACGCCGUAAACGAUGCUAACUCGUUUUUGGAGCGCAAGCUUCAGAGACUAAGCGAAAGUGAUAAGUUAGCCACCUGGGGAGUACGAACGCAAGUUUGAAACUCAAAGGAAUUGACGGGGGCCCGCACAAGCGGUGGAUUAUGUGGUUUAAUUCGAUGAUACGCGAGGAACCUUACCAAGGCUUAAAUGGGAAAUGACAGGUUUAGAAAUAGACUUUUCUUCGGACAUUUUUCAAGGUGCUGCAUGGUUGUCGUCAGCUCGUGCCGUGAGGUGUUAGGUUAAGUCCUGCAACGAGCGCAACCCCUGUCACUAGUUGCCAUCAUUAAGUUGGGGACUCUAGUGAGACUGCCUACGCAAGUAGAGAGGAAGGUGGGGAUGACGUCAAAUCAUCACGGCCCUUACGCCUUGGGCCACACACGUAAUACAAUGGCCGGUACAGAGGGCAGCUACACUGCGAAGUGAUGCAAAUCUCGAAAGCCGGUCUCAGUUCGGAUUGGAGUCUGCAACUCGACUCUAUGAAGCUGGAAUCGCUAGUAAUCGCGCAUCAGCCAUGGCGCGGUGAAUACGUUCCCGGGCCUUGUACACACCGCCCGUCAAGCCAUGGAAGUCUGGGGUACCUGAAGUCGGUGACC